UUAUCCAUCUUUGGUGACCACUUGGCACUCAACUCUCACCUGUGGUUCCAAGAAACUGUCGUAUGUACAUAAAGGCUAAAUAAAUUUGAAGAUAAUUGGCCAGUCACAGACCCAUUGGGAAGUAAGGACAUCACCCUUUGAAAACAAAGACAAAUGACAACAACAAGUGUUUUAUUCUUAUUUUUUUCCAAGGGGAAGGGCAAGCAGAUAUAAGGAAGGUUAUCCUUACUCCACCACCCCCCAAAAAGAAAAGAAGAUCAUUGAAAUGUUUUUAAUGCAUAGAAGACAAAGGGCAAAAAAAAAUCACUUACAAGCAGGAUACUUCCUUUGAAUUGUAUGUUGAAUUGAUUAUAUAUUUCAAGAAUUAAAAACAAAUAUACAUAAUAGAGA